rnacentral:rRNA from 1 species
GAUGAACGCUGGCGGCGUGCCUAAUACAUGCAAGUCGAGCGAACAGACGAGGAGCUUGCUCCUCUGACGUUAGCGGCUGACGGGUGAGUAACACGUGGAUAACCUACCUAUAAGACUUGGAGAACUUCGGGAAACCGGAUCUAAUACUGGAUAAUAUAUUGAACCGGAUGGUUCAAUAGUGAAAGACGGUUUUGCUGUCACUUUGAGAUGGAUCCGUGCCGCAUUGUCUAGGUGGUAAGGUAACGGCCUACCAAGGCAACGAUGCGUAGCCGACCUGAGAGGGUGAUCAGCCACACUGGAACUGAGACACGGUCCAGACUCCUACGGGAGGCAGCAGUGGGGAAUAUUGGGCAAUGGGCGAAAGCCUGACCCAGCCACGCCGCGUGGGUGAAGAAGGCCUUCGGGUUGUAAAACUCUGUUAUUAGGGAAGAACAACUGUGUAAGUAAAUCCGCACGUCUUGACGGUACCUAAUCAGAAAGCCACGGCUAACUACGUG